UUUUUGUGGAGGGUUCGAUUCUGGCUCAGGAUGAACGCUGGCGGCGUGCUUAACACAUGCAAGUCGAACGGGAUCCAUCAGGCUUUGCUUGGUGGUGAGAGUGGCGAACGGGUGAGUAAUGCGUGACCGACCUGCCCCAUGCACCGGAAUAGCUCCUGGAAACGGGUGGUAAUGCCGGAUGCUCCAUCACAUCGCAUGGUGUGUUGGGAAAGCCUUUGCGGCAUGGGAUGGGGUCGCGUCCUAUCAGCUUGAUGGCGGGGUAACGGCCCACCAUGGCUUCGACGGGUAGCCGGCCUGAGAGGGCGACCGGCCACAUUGGGACUGAGAUACGGCCCAGACUCCUACGGGAGGCAGCAGUGGGGAAUAUUGCACAAUGGGCGCAAGCCUGAUGCAGCGACGCCGCGUGAGGGAUGGAGGCCUUCGGGUUGUAAACCUCUUUUGUUAGGGAGCAAGGCACUUUGUGUUGAGUGUACCUUUCGAAUAAGCACCGGCUAACUACGUGCCAGCAGCCGCGGUAAUACGUAGGGUGCAAGCGUUAUCCGGAAUUAUUGGGCGUAAAGGGCUCGUAGGCGGUUCGUCGCGUCCGGUGUGAAAGUCCAUCGCUUAACGGUGGAUCCGCGCCGGGUACGGGCGGGCUUGAGUGCGGUAGGGGAGACUGGAAUUCCCGGUGUAACGGUGGAAUGUGUAGAUAUCGGGAAGAACACCAAUGGCGAAGGCAGGUCUCUGGGCCGUUACUGACGCUGAGGAGCGAAAGCGUGGGGAGCGAACAGGAUUAGAUACCCUGGUAGUCCACGCCGUAAACGGUGGAUGCUGGAUGUGGGGCCCGUUCCACGGGUUCCGUGUCGGAGCUAACGCGUUAAGCAUCCCGCCUGGGGAGUACGGCCGCAAGGCUAAA
rnacentral:rRNA from 1 species